rnacentral:rRNA from 1 species
AUUGAACGCUGGCGGCAUGCUUUACACAUGCAAGUCGAACGGUAACAGCACUUCGGUGGCUGACGAGUGGCGAACGGGUGAGUAAUACAUCGGAACGUGCCUAGUAGUAGGGGAUAACUACUCGAAAGAGUAGCUAAUACCGCAUGAGAUCUAAGGAUGAAAGCAGGGGACCUUCGGGCCUGGCGCAACUAGAGCGGCUGAUGGCAGAUUAGGUAGUUGGUGGGGUAAAAGCUUACCAAGCCGACGAUCUGUAGCUGGUCUGAGAGGACGACCAGCCACACUGAGACUGAGACACGGCCCAGACUCCUACGGGAGGCAGCAGUGGGGAAUGUUGGACAAUGGGCGCAAGCCUGAUCCAGCAAUGCCGCGUGCAGGAGGAAGGCCUUCGGGUUGUAAACUGCUUUUGUACUGAACGAAAAGCACGCUUCUAAGACAGGAGGGUCAUGACGGUAGCGGAAGAAUAAGCACCGGCUAACUACGUG